rnacentral:lncRNA from 1 species
ACAUUCAUUAGUUUCAGAAGGGUUGGCAACCCCUGGACACCAGCUGCAAUGGUCACACUCAAUGGACUGUCAUAGGAUUGACCCAUGAGAUUGCAGAACUGCCGAGCAAGCUCUUCAGCUAAUUUAUCCCAGUGGAAAGGUGAUAGCAAAUCUGCGUAAGGUGACGAAUCUAGUUUUCCAGCCCAUAAUAGACAGGCCAUGAGCCUCUGGAUCUCUGCCAUAUAUUUGGACAAGCUCUUCAGCCAAUUUAUCCCAGUGGAAAGGUGAUAGCAAAUCUGCGUAAGGUGACGAAUCUAGUUUUCCAGACCACAAUAGACAGGCCAUGAGCCUCUGGAUCUCUGCCAUAUAUUUGGUGGCAAAAGGGGGGAAAAAGGUUCUUGCAUAAUUUAAAGCUCCAUCUCUACCUUUUUUCUGUAGAAUUUCCACAAACUGCUGCCUAUGUAGCUUCAUUUCAAUAUCAGACCCACUUACCUUA